CUACCACUAGACAGUGAUCUUCCAUUUCUUGACCUCAUUGUUUUCUUUGGAAGGACGCAAGCAUUGCUGAGGAGCCAUUUGACCUGCCGCCACACUAAUAUUGUAUUUGGCAAAGCCGAAGGCCUCUGCAAGCAGCCAGUCAUUCCAAGUCUCAACCAAUCCUUCCUCUAGUCAGCCAAUUUCUAGUGCAUGCGGAAAGGACUUGCGCAAGAGUGGACACGGGACACUAAAAAGGCGACAAGGACAGGCGUAAACUUCCAACCGGUGCUCAUUACAAAAAGGUAUGUAUAUGUACUCUUGCACACUUGAUCAUAAUCUGUUACAAUC
rnacentral:lncRNA from 1 species